GUGGGCUGAGUGUCUAUUGGACCUAAGUCUAUUUGGAAAAAGAGCUAUAAGAUUGGUGGUUGAUGUCUCAACUUGCUUAAACCUAGUGAUGGGUUCUGCAAUUGGCUUGGAUGGCUCAUCAACCUCUGUUGAUUCAGGCUCAUUAGACUUGGUCUGAUCAGUCUGUGAUUCAGUCAGUUGGUCUUCUUGGUUUUUAAUUAUACCUACCUGAUUGUCUACUUGCCUUCCAGACCUUAAGGUGUGAAUUGCAUUUACAUGGUUUUAUCGACCUU
rnacentral:lncRNA from 1 species